UACGUAGGGGGCAAGCGUUGUCCGGAUUUAUUGGGCGUAAAGAGCUCGUAGGCGGCUUGUCGCGUCGGUUGUGAAAGCCCGGGGCUUAACCCCGGGUCUGCAGUCGAUACGGGCAGGCUAGAGUUCGGUAGGGGAGAUCGGAAUUCCUGGUGUAGCGGUGAAAUGCGCAGAUAUCAGGAGGAACACCGGUGGCGAAGGCGGAUCUCUGGGCCGAUACUGACGCUGAGGAGCGAAAGCGUGGGGAGCGAACAGG
rnacentral:rRNA from 1 species